rnacentral:lncRNA from 12 species
CCAGAGUUACGGCAUUUCUGGUGCCCCCUCUUUGCUCAGUUCCCUGUUCUCUGUAUCUCUACCCCACAGGCUGAUUUAUGCCUUCAGAGCUCAGAGGGACACCCACAUCUGUUCAAACCCAACUCUCCAGGCCAUGGCUGGAUAUUAUCCCCAGGGGGAUUGCUGGGCAAUGGUGACCUCUGCAAAGGCCUCCCGUCCCCGGCUGCGGUGGGCUCUGGCCAAGGCCGGAAGCCGGGUGCCCAGAAGAUUCCUGCCUGCCUCCUGCCCUGUGGUUCCGCCUGAGAUAUGCUCAUGCCGUGGAAGAGCCGUGUCCUCACCUGCAGGCCGCGUCCCCGGGGCCCCUCUGCCACCUGCCCUUUGCCACUCCAGCCGGACGCCCCUGGGCUCGGCCCCUGACUGCGCCCUCGCUCUCCGGCCCUCCCGCCUGGGUGCCUGCAACAACACUCCUUCCCCCCGGCUAGGUGCCAUGGAGAGGCUCCCCCGGCUCCAAGUAACCCCUGCCGCACCCCACUUUUGUUGGCGCUCCUUUAUGACCGAAGACUCCGAGGCUUAGCGCGGCGUCCUACGCAUGGUCACCUGCCCCGAGCUGUUGGCCCGCGUGCAACGCCGCCAUCUGAGAUGUGCUGACUCGUGGCGCCCCGGGCGUCCUUCUGCCGCUGCCCGUGACCGAGCAAAGACGCUUUGAGGCUUGUAAGCUCGCCCAGGAACAGCAACAGGGCAACGUUCCGGGCUGACCCCGGCCAGGCGCAGGGCCGUGGGGGGGCAGCGCGGGGUGUUCUGACUGCCGGGUCCCUGCAAGGGUGCUGCCCGUGGCUUUCCACUUGGCACACGUAUUUGGGACCUGAACCCUGAGAAGUCAGCCGCCCGCGUGAAGGGACAGCUGCUAAGGCUCCAUGUCCGUGUUCUCCUAGACUUUGGGGCUGAAAACAACAUGAGUUUCUGAUUCCACAUUGUUCCUGAGCUCGGGAAUCUGGGGCGACUCAGCUGGGCCAUGCUAGCCCAAGU